rnacentral:tRNA from 1 species
GUGGGUGUAGCUCAGGGGUAGAGCGCCUGACUGUGGCUCAGGAAGUCGCGGGUUCGAGACCCGUCACCCACC